rnacentral:tRNA from 1 species
UCCGGAGUAGCUCAGUUGGUAGAGCGAGUGGCUGUUAACCACCAGGUCGGGGGUUCGAGUCACUCCUCCGGAG